rnacentral:misc_RNA from 1 species
AAACGGAAGCCUCUGGAUCAUCAUUAUUGGAAUUCUCAGUCUGGGAAAUCAAGAGAUGGACUCCGAAAUCACUUAUUUUGCUGACAAAUUUAGCAUCAAGGAGAAUGUUGGUAGGUCUCAAGUUCCCAUGGACAAUACAAGGAUCGUUGGCAUGAACAAAGAUAAGAGCAGAGCAUAUCUCGACAGCAAUUCUUAUCCGAUGUUGCCAAUGAAGAGGACGAGAUUUUUUGCGGCAGGCCAGGUGAUCUUCAAGGUUUCCAUUUUCAAGGAAUUCAUAAGCAAGGGACCUAGACUCUGAGCAAAUCCCAAUCAGUGUAACAAG